GACGAACGCUGGCGGCGUGGAUUAGGCAUGCAAGUCGAACGGUAUCAUCCUUUCGGGGGUGAGAGAGUGGCGAACUGGUGAGUAACACGUAGGUUAUCUACCCUCAAGACGGGGACAACCCAGGGAAACUUGGGCUAAUACCGGAUGUGAGCAACUUUUAGUUGUUUGAAAGGUGGCGUAAGCUGUCGCUUGGGGAUGAGCCUGCGCUCUAUUAGUUAGUUGGCGGGGUAAAGGCCCACCAAGGCGAUGAUAGAUAGGCGGCCUUAACGGGUGGUCGCCCACACUGGGAUUGAGAUACGGCCCAGACUCCUACGGGAGGCAGCAGUCGAGAAUAGUCUACAAUGGCCGAAAGGCUGAUAGUGCGACGCCGCGUGAACGAAGAAGCCCUUCGGGGUGUAAAGCUCUUUUGUUCCGGAAAGAAAGACGCCGGGUUAAUACCCUGGUGUCCUGACGGUACCGGAAGAAUAAGCACCGGCUAACUUCGUGCCAGCAGCCGCGGUAAGCUGUAGUCGUCCUGACCGACGAGA
rnacentral:rRNA from 1 species